GUGACGUAUAGCCCAGGAAGAAGUUAACUUCCGGAUCGAGAUUAAAAGGCCAUCCGUGGCUUGAAAAGGAAAACAGCUUAUGUUUCUGGAGGGAAGGAAAGAAAGAACCGAACGACGUUUUAGCCCAAGUCGCUUGAUAUGCCUUGCCACUGGAGAAGUGUUUGUUUGGGGCUCCGAAAGUGACGGCCGAGGAACAGCCUUGGAAAGUCCUCGUAGGGCGACAACUCCCGCCGAUGCAAGACUUGAUGAGACCAGUUUCUACGCAAGAGCUUGACCUGUUCCAGGUCCGGAGAAACUCAGUGUGACACGCUUGCUUCCCGACCUUCCUGGUCACUCUCAGAUAUUCCUGAUUGAAAGUCUCCGUGGCGUCCAUUGCCAGGCCUUGUCUGCUCUUGGGGAAGAUGCUCUUCUGUACCCACCAGAUCAGUAUCAGAAAAAACAAGAGCAGCUGAAGACAAACACAAUUUUCCUGAGGCAACAAAAAAAGAAAAGAAUGAGUGGUUGAAGUACCACUCAACUUCAAAUGUAAUAUGUAAUUAACAACUUCAAAUGUUCUGAGGAAAGGACCAGAGAGGAACCAAAAGAACUGGACCCCAUGUUUGCAUAAAGGGGUCCAUAUUGUGACCUGAUGAAUUCAAAUGCUUACCUUCCUGCAGAUCAUUUGCAAAGUUCAUUUAACUUCAUUCAAAAUGACAGGUUAAAAAAUGUUCUUUUUAAUACCUCUAAACCCACCACCCAUAAGAAUCAUAAGAUAAACAGUACAAAACACAUCAAUUCACACCGUGCUUCUCUACCCUGUCCUCCACGUGGCCCACUGGUAACCACAAACCUUUUGUCCACAUCAUAGAAAGGGUACUGUAAAGUAUACAGUCUUUCUGAGACAUUUCCCCAUUCAGCAUUUUUAGUAAUAUUCAGUCUUGUAGUAUAUCCCAGUUCAAAUUGGAAGUAGCUUUGCUGAAUCCAAAGAGGUUGCUUACCGCUGCUCCAGCUGCUGCUGUUAAUAAAAAUUCAUUAAGAUGCUGCUCCUAUUAGCACUGAGUCUACUGGAGAUAAAGCAGACCCAGUGUGAGACCUUUUGUUAGCCUGGAGACAGCUCCGUCAGUCAAGCAGCAAGGAUCAGGGAAUCUUUCCUAGGGGCACAUUUUCUUGGGACUGGUACCAAACAAGGUGCCCUCUUUAUGGGCUCUUAUUCUUCCUCCUUGUCCCAAUGGACUAUAUUAAGUGAAACUGAAAUGCGAUUCUGACUGGGUCUCUUUACGCAGUUUUCCAGUUGCGAAUUCUUGAAUCUAGAAUAGACAGACUUACUGUUAAAGGCAGGUAUCCCAGGUCAACAGACUGGCAUCCCAAGGCCUCAGUCUCUACCUUUCCAUGCAGAAAAGCAUAAUCCAUAGAUAUUGUGAGGCAGGAUAUGAUGUACAUGGACAUGUAUUUCACCUCGGUCUGAAUCCUGGCCCUGUUGCUUCAUAACUGUACAACUUGGAUAAAUCACUACCCUCUCUAUGCUUCAAUUUUCUUGUGUAAAAUAAAGGCAACAGUAUCCACUUUA